rnacentral:rRNA from 1 species
ACCGGAUGCGGAUCUCGAAAGCCUGUCCCAGUUCGGACUGGAGCUGNAACCCGACUCCACGAAGUUGGAUUCGCUAGUAAUCGCGCAUCAGCCAUGGCGCGGUGAAUACGUUCCCGGGCCUUGUACACACCGCCCGUCAAGCCAUGGGAGCCGGGGGCGCCUGAAGUCCGGGACCGCGAGGACCGGCCUAGGGCGAAACUGGUAACUGGGGCUAAGUCGUAACAAGGUAUC